rnacentral:lncRNA from 1 species
GAUGUUUUUCAGUAUAGGGGUUUUUCUUUAUUUUUCUGGAUUGCACACACACAGAGACUUUGGUGGAAAAUCCAAAAGGCAUUAGCUGGGGGUCUGGUAAGCAUUUCUUUGUCCAAAGCAGAGGGCAGAAGAAGUUGCAGCAGCAUCCAGACACCUCAAGGCACAAAACAAGGGCGUGCCCUCUGCACUCUGCUGAUGCAGUCCAGAGUGGGAGGUGUUAGGCCUUGCUCACGACCAUUGCUAAGCUUUCCAGUGGAAUUCUGGGUCUUUCUUUGGUUCCCGGAAGGGCUCAAGAAGACUAACUGAGGGAACCUUGAGGUAACACAUGAUCCCAGGGCAUCUUUCCACCCCUUCUACUUCCCAUGUUCCUGAUGAAAAUCUCCAAUGCGGGCACACACUAAUUUGUACUCGGCGAGUGUACAGAUGAAGAGAAAGCAUGGUUUCGGCUACUGGGAAGCCAAAGGUUUAGAGCCGUGCUCAUUAAAAUUGGAGAAUUCACCCAGAGUCUCAGACACCCAAUUUCUGUCUAAAGCAUUGUUAAAGACAAGGAGAAUUGCUUCCAUCGUCAGAACUUUUCUACAAAGUUUUUCCACCCCCCACCCCCAUCACCAUGGUGACCAGAGAGAUGUUGGUGAGCACUGACUUCCCCUGCAGUAGUCCUUGGUAGAGGUCAGGCAACAGGUAGCCUUGAUCGUCACUGAAGCUCGACUACACAUGGUCUCUUUUUCGGUAAAAGCCUGAGAAAGAUUGAGCUCCCAAGCCGGGCAGAGAGGCAGCUGCAGCACUGUGAGCCCGAGCUGAUA